GUGGGGAAUCUUGCGCAAUGGGCGAAAGCCUGACGCAGCCAUGCCGCGUGAAUGAUGAAGGUCUUAGGAUUGUAAAAUUCUUUCACCGGGGACGAUAAUGACGGUACCCGGAGAAGAAGCUCCGGCUAACUUCGUGCCAGCAGCCGCGGUAAUACGAAGGGGGCUAGCGUUGCUCGGAUUUACUGGGCGUAAAGGGCGCGUAGGCGGACAUUUAAGUCAGGGGUGAAAUCCCGGGGCUCAACCUCGGAACUGCCUUUGAUACUGGGUGUCUUGAGUAUGAGAGAGGUGUGUGGAACUCCGAGUGUAGAGGUGAAAUUCGUAGAUAUUCGGAAGAACACCAGUGGCGAAGGCGACACACUGGCUCAUUACUGACGCUGAGGCGCGAAAGCGUGGGGAGCAAACAGGAUUAGAAACCCUGGUAGUCC
rnacentral:rRNA from 1 species